UCCCAUAAACUGAACGAUCGGAAGUGCACACUGGACAAACUCAAUGUGGAACAUAGAGGAAAGAUCAGGAUUACACCAGGACCACAUACAUGUAGCUAUACACAUAAACAAGAGCUCAAUGGUAUGUCUCUGUAUCGUGUGACGGUAGAAAUGAAAUUAAAGUUUUUUCCUUUUAUUAAAAAUAAGUUGGGCUUAAGGACGUCAAUAAACUAAUAUACUCCAAAGCGCUAACAAAACGUACAUUUAGAAGAUAUAAGCAUUUAAAACGAACACUAUUGCACGACUAAAAACCUGCCUAUGACAUCAUUUUAACCUCUUUUAAAUUCUGAAGCGUUCUUGCCCCUUUUAAGUCAACAACAUUCAAUACAUGCAUUUAUUAAUAAACACAGUAAAAAAUCCCAUGAUUCUAUUGUAACUUACUUUUUUCUACAAAUGUAGGCUAGAAACCUUUUUUUUUUCUCUGAAGUUUCAGUAAAAUGUAUUAUUACUCUCUAUUGUGUUGUUGAGUAAUAUUUUGGUAACACUACCUACUCCUAUAAUACAGUUGUACAGUAAAUGUUCUCUGUUGUGUCUAGGUGUCUGUCAUCUCACUCUGGAUCCAAACACAGCUCACAUGCAUCUCGUAGUGUUUAACACCGUGUCUACACCGGAUGCGGCGUGACAAGAGACAAUAGAACGACUUGGAACCCAGUAUAAUUUUAAAAUUUGUCCACACCGGACGUGGCGUGACAAUCCCAUUAGAACAUGCCAUGUGUCACGCCGCGUCCGGUGUAGACACAGUGAGGAUGACAGCAGCAGCAUGACACCGGAGCGAGUGGACACAGGCAAGAGGAAACGGAGCCUGCACCAUCAGGAGCAUCUUGCUGUUUUAAGAGAUAUGCAGUUGGCCCGGCAAGCAAGGGAGCAGGAAGUGGAAGCUUAAGGACGGAGGAAAAUGCACAAUUGGCUGUAUUCAAUCAAACCUUCCUCAAUGUCAUGGGGAUGCUUGUACAGGCGAGAAGUGGACAGCGAGAACAGAACAUUUUUUGCACAUUGUUUAACGUUUGCUCUGUUUAUGUUUUAAAAUAUAAACAGCAACUUUGUUUUAAAAAGUCUUGUGUAUAUAUUGAUUGAACUGCAUAUAUUGUUCAGUAAUUGCUCUUUUUAGAAUUUCAACCUUUACAACUUUGUAUUUGUUUUCCUUCAAUAAAUACUACACUGG